rnacentral:lncRNA from 1 species
GCGACGUCAGUAGGUACGGAUAUUCAAAAUUUUAUUUAAAUCCGAAUUCAAAUCCGAACAGAGCGGAUUUAUCUGUUGCUAUACGGAUAUUGUUUCGAAUACGGAUAUCAAAAUGAAAAAUUUGAUAGAUAUGAACUUUAACUGUACUCAGCCCGAAUCGAAACUCGGACCCGAAUUUAUUUUAUUUUAUAUAUAAUAUGUAUACAAAAAUUUGAUGUUAUAUUUUAAUUUGUAUGUUAAAAAUUUAGAUUUAAUGUAAUAUAUUUCGAAAUAUUGCAAAGAGAAAUAUUUGUUUUGGGUUCGGAAUUUUCGGAUUCGGGUUUGAGUUCGGAUUUUAGAUUUUUGGUCAGGCUCGGAUUUGGAUAUAGAUUUUUAAAAUUCGUCGAAUUCGAAUUCGGAUUUGAAUUUAGAUUUUGGAGUCGGAUUUGGGUCUUUUAAAAAUGGGCUCUUUUUGCAAAUAGCCUCCUGAAAAAUUUUUAUUUUCAAACUAGCCCCAACAAAUUUAUAAUUGCAAAAAUUGUCCUAUCCUUGCCACGCAGGCGCCACGCAAGCGUCACGUGGGUGUGACUCCUGGUUGGCAAGUUGAACACGAUGAAUCAAUGGGUCGGGUUUGGAUCGAGCUUUCAAAAAACCCGAAUCCGAAUCCGAAAAUCAAAUUAAAACUCGAACCCGGUUGGUUUUAAAAAUCCAUACCCAUAUCUAUACCCUACCAAAAACCCGAAACCCGAAUCCGGACCCGAAUCCGGCGGGUUUUAAAAAUCCAUACCGUUGGAUAAAGAUUUAUUAAGGGAUAAAAAUUAUUAAAUCUUUUAUAUAUUGUAUAAAAAAUUAAAAAUAAAUUAUGUAUAUAAAUAAUUUAUUCGGGUUUGGGUUCGAAUAAUAUUUCGGAUAUCCAUACCUAUUGACGUCCCUACUUCCUAUUUCUUUUUUCAAUAAAAGAUACAUGUAUUUGUAUUUUCUCUAGACACAAUAAAUUAUUUACUGUAUUUGGAUACGGUAAAUGAUUCACAGUGUUCAACUUAACACCCUGAUCCAGCCCUGCUCGCGUAAGGCUGACAUAAAAAAACCCUUUAAAAAUCCGUCCCGAGACCCGUUCACAUCCCCACCAGAUGGUAACAGAUUCUUGGCGCAUAUUUUCAUAAUUUCCGUCCCGCCUAAUUCCUGCCAGCCUUUUCUUUUUUCUUUUUUCUUUUUUUUUUUUUUUUUUUUCUCGUCCCCGUCCUCCUUGGGAUCACCGUCUCCACGGAGAGCCCACAAAAUUUUUAAAAAUAUACUAAAUUCAUAUAUAAUUUAAAAUUUUUAUUAAAUAAAAUUAAUUUAGUUUAAAUUUAAAUUAAUUUAAAUUUUAUCUAAUUAUUGUUUUUUUUGUUAAUUGUCAAAUUAUUAGUUAAAACAUAUCAAAUUACUAAAAAUAUAUAGUAAUUAAUAUUAUUUAACUAAUAUACUGUAUAUAUAUUUAAACUAUUUAAUUAAAUUUAAAAUAUAUUAAAUGCAGCAAAAUUAAUCUUCUAUAAUAUUUAAAAUAUGUAAUACCAGUCCAGUUACUAUCGUUUUAGGAGGACGGAGGCUUUUGUACGGUUAAGUCGUUUUAGACGAUAGGAUCCUGAAUCGAUGAUUGGAACCGUUAAAGUUGAUCUAAAGUAUUUAUAAUGUCUAGAAACUAAAUUUCAUAUAUUUUAAAAUUCGUUAUCAAGUUCAUUAAAGAGUCGAAAAAUGAAUAGUUAAAAACGAAUAACCUUAUGACAAUAGAUCUUAGACUUUUUCAGUUCAUGAUCGGAGUUAUCAAACGUUAUCUAAAUAAUAUAAAAAAAUUUCUAUAAAAAAUUUAGGCUAUUUGGAUUAUUCUACACCGUUAAACAAGCAAACGGCUCGUAUAGGCCACAAAAAAUUAACGAUUUUGUGAUUCUUUGAUCACUACAUAAAUAAUUUCAUUAAAUAUAGUUCCUAGACACUUUAAAUAUUCUAGUUCAAUUUUAACGGUUCGAUCAUUGAUUCGAAAUUUCUAUCAUCUAAAACGAUUUAGGAGGAGGAAGGCGUUCGUCCUCCUAAAAGGAUAAUAGCUGGAUUCUAUAUAAUA